GUGGGGAAUUUUGGACAAUGGGCGCAAGCCUGAUCCAGCCAUGCCGCGUGCAGGAUGAAGGCCUUCGGGUUGUAAACUGCUUUUGUACGGAACGAAAAGACUCUGGUUAAUACCUGGGGUCCAUGACGGUACCGUAAGAAUAAGCACCGGCUAACUACGUGCCAGCAGCCGCGGUAAUACGUAGGGUGCGAGCGUUAAUCGGAAUUACUGGGCGUAAAGCGUGCGCAGGCGGUUAUAUAAGACAGAUGUGAAAUCCCCGGGCUCAACCUGGGAACUGCAUUUGUGACUGUAGAGCUAGAGUACGGCAGAGGGGGAUGGAAUUCCGCGUGUAGCAGUGAAAUGCGUAGAUAUGCGGAGGAACACCGAUGGCGAAGGCAAUCCCCUGGGCCUGUACUGACGCUCAUGCACGAAAGCGUGGGGAGCAAACAGGAUUAGAAACCCCGGUAGUCC
rnacentral:rRNA from 1 species